GCCUAAGUAUGAUACGGCCGAGAAAGAAAUGAACACGAGGCCAUCAACAGACUAGUUUUAUGAAUUUAUCGUACUGUCUCGUUGUCCAAUAAGAGGGUCUGUCGGAAAGAUCAAAGGGAGCCGACGGGACUGCAUAGCUGUCCCUACCUGUCAAUCUUUGCAUCGCAAGGAACUUCGAUCAACGAACUUCUCACGCACUGAGGUCUGCAAGGCUGACGAGAUUAAUUAGUAUCUGUGAAGACUGGCGGGCGGUAAACGCUGGUUGAAGGCUUUUGAAGUUGUGC